UUUCCUUUUUCAGUCCUACUUUUUUUUAUUCCUUACUUCCUUCCUCCUUCACCUCCCUACUUCCUUAUUAUAUCUCUCCCUUACUUCUUUACUUCCUUCCUUCCUUCCUUCUAUACUCGCCUCACAGCUCCCAAAUCCCUUUCUUUCUUACUUCCUUUUUCCUUCUUUACUUUCUUUUUUCCCCCUUAGUUUCUCCUUUUCCUGGUUUCUUCCUCCCUUUUCCUUUUCCUCCAUUUUCAGCUUUUAUCCCUCUCUCCAUUAUUGGCGUUCCUUCUUCUUCUCCUCAGUCCCCUUGUCCCGCCUCUCUUAUUAUCCACCAUUUCACUUUCUCUAUCGUCCACUUUCUCUCUCUCUUCCCUACACUUUUUUCUCUCCCUCCAAUCACACAUUUUUCCGUAACUUUCCAAAUAUUUUCUAUCUUUCUCUUCCUCCACUAACAGCUCCCUUUUUUCCUUCCCUCUCUUUCUCUUCCUCCUCGCAUUUACACUUUCCUUUACCACCUUCCCUUUCAGUUUCUUCCCUCCACAUCUUCUCUCCUUUCACUUCCAGCUCCAUUUUUUCUCCUUUCCUUUCUAUUACCUCUUCCGCCGGUGACGUCACGGCCGUAACCUCGGGGUAAAUACUAGUGUUAUUAUUCUAAUUCAUAUAUCUCGCACAAUACUUAAGAUGGUGGGAGUAAACAAUUAUUGAAGGGAAAAAUGCUCACUUCUUACCCCACAGGGCCGUUAUUUUAAACGUAUCGAGCUGCCUUUACGACUAUUCCCAAGGCCGCGGAGAAGCUUGGCCAAGUUGUCACGGGUGACUUUACCAUUCAUGACGCUGAAGGCGUGUACAGCCAUCACUACGAUCACAAAACAGUCCGUGAAUACCCCGGCAACUUCAACGAGAGGCUUUUCAAACAGGCGAGCCGAGGCGAAGAUUACUUUAUAAAUAAGACCUUCCAUCCAGCCAAUCAGAUCCCGUAGCUAAGCACACCCUCCCUCCAUCAAGCCAAUCAGCUCCCGUAGCUAACAUCUCCCUCCCUCCAUCCAGCCAAUCAGCUCCCGUAGCGAUCUUCACUACAAAAGGUGCAACUAGCUCUAGAUUCAGCCCUAUGCAAUGUCAACUCUGUGCUCCCUAAAACGGCAUAUCGCAAACCGAGGUGAUGUGGUAAAUCUCGACCCUAUACAGGGUAAGAAAAAGGAGGAGGGUGACUCCAUCUCAAGAAAUCAAAAUCGCGUGGCUGAUCCCCGAGGCCAGGCGAGCCUCAGAACCUUAGACACACACACACACACACACACACACACACACACACACACACACACACACACACACACAGGAUAAUGAGGCAGGGGACUAAUGGACUAACGCUCUGCCGUGACAGGAUAGGGAGGCUUCCCUCCAAUAAGGAGCAACGAGAGGAGAGGAAGGCCUCCCAGUGGGAGUUGAAGCAACUCCCGGGGCCGCUGCCGAAGCUGAUGUCGGUCUGCUCCUGCUGCGACAGGAAAAGUUCUCGCGUGUUAUUCGCCUAGCUCACGCAGCACGCACGCACUCACCCCGCAACGCACGCCAGCACGAACUCACUCCCCAACGCACGUUCGCUCGCACUCACCCCCCAACGCACGCACGCACGCACGCACGCACAUACGCAAGCACACACGCACGAACGAUCGGACGCACAAGCACGCACUCACCCCCCACCCACGCUCGCACGCACGAACGCAAGAACACACGCAAGAACGAACGGACGAACACACGCUCGCACACACCCAUCCCCAACGCACGCUCGCACGCACGAACACGAAUACACACGCACGAAGGAACGGAUGAACACACGCUCGCACGCACGAAUACGAGUACACACGCACGAAGGAACGGACGAACACACGCUCGCACGCACCCAUCCCCAGCGCACGCUCGCACGCACGAACACGAGUACACACACGCACGAAGGAACAGAUGAACACACGCUCGCACGCACGAACACGAGCAUACACACGCACGAAGGAACGGACGAACACACGCUCGCACGCACGAACACGAGCAUACACACGCACGAAGGAACGGACGAACACACGCUCGCACUCACGAACACGAGUAUACAUACCCACGAAGGAACGGACGAACACACGCUCGCAGGCACUGACCGCCCAACGCACGCAGCACACAAGCACUCACACACGCAAGCACGCACACAAUCACGUAUCCACGCAUGCACACGCACGCAAGCACACACACUCACGUACAGACGCACGCACCCACGCAAGCAUGCAGGCAGGCACGCACCCACGCAAGCAUGCAGGCAGGCACGCACGCACACACUCACUCACACAAGCAAGCACGCAGCCACGCACGAAAAAACGCACGAACUCACGCAAGUACGUAAGCACGCACGCACGCACGCACGCACGAAGGCACGGACACUCUGAUGACGACCCAGGCAACAAGGCACCCUGACACUCCCUGGACACUCUCUGAACAAUGGAUGGACACUCUGAUGACGACCCACGCAUCUAGCAUUAAGGCCUUAGGUGUUGUGUGUUGGGUAGGGUUGCUGACUCCUCUGGGGUGAAGGAGACUCAUCCUGAGCAGCAUACAGCACCAAGAUAAGGCGAUACAGCUACCCAACACAAGGAAACGGAAAAUAAAGAAAAUAACACCGAAGAAUUAAGAUUACAAUAUAAAGAACACAAACAUAAAGAAGUGAUAGGAACGCAAAAUCAAGAAAAGGAAAAAAAUCUAGCAGAGUAAGUCCUUUGGUGCUGUGUGUUGGGUAGGGUUGCUGACUUCUCUGGGGUGAGGGAGACUCAUCCUGAGCAGCAUACAGCACCAAGAUAGGGCGAUACAGCUAGCCUGCACAACAUCAGGAAACGUAAAAUAAAUAAAAAUAUCAUCGAAGAAUGGAUAUUACUGAAAAAAGGAACACGAUAAUAAAGAACUUGUAGAAAAACAUCAUGAAAGUGAAAACCAAUCAUUGGGGCAAGCAUUAAGGCCUUUGGUGUUGUGUGUUGGGUAGGGUUGCUGACUCCUCUGGGGUGAGGGAGACUCAUCCUGAGCAGCAUACAGCACCAAGAAGAGGCAAUAUAGCUAGCCAACACAACACCAGGAAACGAAAAAUAAUGAUAAAGAACACCGAAGAAUGGAUAUUACUGAAAAGGAACACGAGAAUAAAGAAGUGAUAGAAACACAACAUCAUGAAAGUGAAACAACUCAUUGUGGCAAGCAUUAAGUCCUUUGGUGUUGUGUGUUGGGUAGGGUUGCUGACUCCUCUGGGGUGAGGGAGACUCAUCCUGAGCAGCAUACAGCACCAAGACAAGGCGAUACAGCUAGCCUGCACAACGCCAGGAAACGGAAAAUUAAAUACCGAAGAAACGAUAUUACAGAAAAAGAAUACGAAAAUAAAAAAGUCUUGGAAACACAACAUGGACUGACACUCUGAUGACGACCCACGCAACAAGGCCCCCUGACACUCCCUGGACACUCUCUGAACAAUGGACGGACACUCUGAUGACGACCCACGCAACAAGGCCCCUGACACUCCCUGGACACUCUCUGAACAAUGGACGGACACUCUGAUGACGACCCACGCAACAAGGCCCCUGACACUCCCUGGACACUCUGAACACUGCCCUGACCAUUUGCAACAAAAAAUCUCCUCACGACGUAACCUAAAAUGGACAAAAUCCCCCCCGACAAAAAAAAAAAAAAUAGUUAACUUUCCAAACUAUAACGAAAUAGUUAAGUCACCAACAAGACAUCAAAAUAAAGAAGCCAUAAAAAAGAAAAAGAAAAAAGCAACAAAGAAAUCAACUCAAGCAGUAGUAAAAAAAAAAGACCUAACAAAUCUAAAAAGGUCAACUCCUGAUCAGUCAAAAAAUAGAAAACUAAAAACAUAUAAUGCCAAAAUGUAACGAAAAGUAUGAACUCAAAAGCAAGAAAGAAAAGUAAAAAAAAAGAAAAAAAAAAUUAACCAAAAAUUAAUUCAACACCAAAAAAAAAACGAAA